AAGUUUAUUAAAUGUUUUUUUUAAAAAAUGAUUUAUAUUUAAUAUUUUUUUAAGUGCAUGUGUUUUUUUAGAUUGAUUUAGAUUUUUUAGAUAGACCUUACGUUCCGGAAAAAAUAUAUAAAACAUCACAAAUUUAUAUUCCUCGAGUGGUAGAAACAAGACCACUCGAGAGGGCAGAUGAAAUAAUGUAUAAUGGUGAACUUGAUUAUUUUGAUGACAUUUCAGAAAUAGAUGACGAACAAGUACGGAUAUUAGACAAUAUAAUGAUCAGAAUAGAAAGAGAUUUGGCACGUCAGAUGUGAAAAAAUUAAAAAUGCUUUUAGAAAUUCCUUACGGUGUCAGAGAAAAAAUUAAAGACAGAUUAGAUUUUAUGGAGUACAUCCAGUACAAGAAUUUUGUGUAUCAACACUUUGAAUAUAAAACUAUCGAAGCAAAAAUAAAACUUGUUUUAAAUUUAUUAAAAGAAGUAGUAGACGGGAUAUUUAUAAAAGGUUUAUAAUUAAAUUAGAAGAACCUCCAUCGUACGAAGAAAGUCAUUCAAUUGAUCUAUCAAGACUCGGUUUUAAUCCGCCUUCGUAUACAGAAUGCAAUCCUCCUACGUAUGGAGAAAAUCAAAGAUAUCUGUUUACAGAUUUAUCCGCCUGAAGUUGUCAAUUUAAGACAAGAAGAACUUUUUAAUUAUUAUAAUAAAAAAAAAAAAUUUUCUUCAAUUUUGUAUAUUUCUUUUAUAAUAAAAUAAAAUUAAUAAUAAAUAAUAAAAUUUUUUCUUUUAAUUUGUAUAUUUUUUUUAUAGCAUGAUUAGUAAAGAAAAAUUAAAACAAAUGCUUAAUGAAGUAAAAGAAUUUCAUUCAAUGACACAAAACAAAUUGGAAGUUUGGAAAUAUAACUAUUAUCUUGUUUUCGAUGUUGUUUUGAAUGUUGAAACAUGGUCUUUAGAAGAUUUGUGUAAAAGAAAAUUAGCUUACGAAAAACUUUUGAACACUGUUAUACCAAAUUUACAAAAACAAAUCAACGAUUUAAUGUGUCCAUUUUUUCAUGUAAACGAAAAUUUAUUAAUGUUAUAUCAUCGUUAUCAAUUAUAUGGUAAUGAUUGUUUUUAUAACAUUAUUAACAUGUCAUCUGAUUUUUAUAAAAGACAUGAUUUAUUUGUUCAACAUUUAAUUAUACAAAGUGUAUUUAAAUUUUUUGAACGAACAUAUACUAUGCUUCGUUAUAAAACUAAACAAUACAAAUUAAUUAUGACAUCUUUUUUUAAUAUUUAUAUGGAAUGUAUAGAAUGGUUAAUUGAACAAUGUAAAUGUGUUUAUGAUCCUUAUUUUAAACCUUGUUAUGUUUAUAAAUAUGAUUUUAUUUAGAAUGUUAAGAAAAAAAUUAAUUAGACAUGCUAGAAUACAUCAUGAUUUAAAGAAAUUUUUUUCAAUAAAAGAAGACAAAUUGAAAGAGUUUUAGAUUAGGAGUAAUGGAGAAUUAAGAUUAAAAAGCCGUAAUGAUACAUGGACUUUGACAGAUUUGUGUAAAAGAAAGUUAGCUUCUGAAAAACUGUUACGAAUAGUUAUACCAAAUACUCAUAACAAAAAAAAAUGAAACUUGUAAAAAAUAAUCAAACAAGGUAUGUCAGUUAUAACCCUCAAGAAGCUAGAAUUCUUAUAAAGAUAGCAGAAGACCGAUACGGGACCGAUAGUUGUAAAGUAUUAGCAGAAUUUCAUCGUAUUGCUGUUUUUGUAGACGAACAAAUUCAAAGACGCACAAAUAAUUUUAGAAAUAUAGAACUAUUUGAACAAAUCAAUAACAAUUUUGAAAACUUUGUAAAAAGUUUAUUUUAAUAAAAUUAUAAAAUUUUUUUUUUUUUUAAGAUUUAUAAUGAAAUUAAAAAAUUAUAAUAUAUACGAUACCGAUACUCAUGUCAGCUUUAACCGCGAAGAAUAUAAAAUUUUUAUGGAAUUGGCUAUAAAUCGAUAUGGAAACAAUAAUUUUAAAGUUUUAAAAGAAUUUCAUUGCAUCACUGUAUUGAUUGAUUACGAAAUACGUAAAAAAAACAUUUAAUUUUAAGA